AUUGAACGCUGGCGGCAGGCCUAACACAUGCAAGUCGAGCGGAUGAAGGGAGCUUGCUCCUGGAUUCAGCGGCGGACGGGUGAGUAAUGCCUAGGAAUCUGCCUGGCAGUGGGGGAUAACGUCCGGAAACGGGCGCUAAUACCGCAUACGUCCUGAGGGAGAAAGUGGGGGAUCUUCGGACCUCACGCUAUCAGAUGAGCCUAGGUCGGAGUAGCUAGUUGGUGGGGUAAAGGCCUACCAAGGCGACGAUCCGUAACUGGUCUGAGAGGAUGAUCAGUCACACUGGAACUGAAACACGGUCCAGACUCCUACGGGAGGCAGCAGUGGGGAAUGUUGGGCAAUGGGCGAAAGCCUGAUCCAGCCAUGCCGCGUGUGUGAAGAAGGUCUUCGGAUUGUAAAGCACUUUUAGUUGGGAGGAAGGGCAGUAAGUUAAUACCUUGCUGUUUUGACGUUACCAACAGAAUAAGCACCGGCUAACUUCGUG
rnacentral:rRNA from 1 species